CUGGUAGUUCUCUCUUAGUCCCUUUACCUCCUCUUCUACCGCUUGAGUGCGCGUGGACACGGCGUGCACGUCUAGUUUAAGCACUGCCAGGUCCGCUUCCCACAUUUGUCUUAAGUUCUGUUGCAGGCCUGUCAGCAUAGCCUGUAUAUCUUGUUUGGAGGCCGGUGCGCUGGCUUCUGGCAUCCACGUGUGUGUGGGGUGUUGAGGAUUGAGGUGUGGGCUAUCUAGCGAUU